ensembl:lncRNA
CAGUCUUCACUACUGCCACAAGAUGGCAGUAUAAGCCUCUAAAUAAACAGUCGUGCUCUGGCUAGUGCUCCCACACAGAAAGAAACAGAAUCACAUCUACAACGAAUUUAGAGCACCAUCUAUCCCAACCUGCAUGGUGCUGGACUGUGGGAGGAAGACCGAGUGUUGGAGAUUACUGUUAAGUGAACAGAGUUUUGGGAAACAUUACACUAAAGUCUUGAAAAAAUAUAAUAACUCACCAUAAAACUCAACCAAACUAAUCACCUCAAAGCAACUUUGGCAGAGCGGAAGAGGAAUUUAAACAAGAAAUGGGAAGCGGGGAACAAAACCUGACGUACUAGUAACUACCUCAACCUCAUUUUUCACCUCUGAGAUGGGAGAUAACAUGCUUGCUACAGUGCAGGGAGUUCAUGAAGACUGCAGAACCUUCAUCUGCCUGUUUGAUUUAUUAAGCAGCAUUGUUGAAAAGCUCCUUCUCUAUCUCUCCUGUUCUUUGUGUUUCUGUAUCUGACUGCUCCCUUUCUGUCAUUUCAGCUCAGUGGAGCUCACGUCAGCUUCUGGCCUUUGAAAGGCAUUAUACCUGCACUAAGGGAUGUAUGUUCUGUGGGAACUUGAGAUUGACUUUAUGCUUCUGUGUUUAUGAGUAAAUGAUGAUUAAUUCAUUUGUGUAUAGCCAUUCAAAUUUAAACUGCAUGCAGAUACCAGCAGAUACCAGAACUGUAACUGAGAUGUUAAAAGUAUUUCACAAGUACAAGGUAUAAAACAUACAGGCUUUAGAGACAAGCAGAAUAGGUGAUCAGAGAAGUUAAGGCUGGGUUCUGAACACUAUCCAAUGUCCACUUGACAUUAACUUGCUGUUGUUAAUGGUGAGCUGUUUGUUGUGGCCCAUUGUGGAGCCAAAACAGACAGGAGGCAGGUCAUGAUGCUCCAAAAGACUUUAUCAGGGGUGAAGUUUUCAGGACUCCGUGAAACCUCACUGAAUACUAGAGUUAACUCAAAACAACCCAUAAAAACUGCUGGGGUUGAAUUCUUUGCUGAAUAAUUGUAUUGUUUUGGUGCUAUUUAAAGAAGAUUUAAUCAAACUAAAUGGAACUAAAUAACAUAAGAUUUGAAGAGGUUAAUCCUACUCUAGUCCAACAUUUGUACUUUUGUUUAUGUCACAUUAAAAAACAUUGAAUUUGGAAAACAUUUCCAUUUCUGCAAAAUCAGUUACACCUAAAAAAUCUCACUGAAUUAAUUGAAGGUGAUUUAAAGGAUCUGGAGCAAGCUGGGGUAUUUUACCUGGAUAUUAAUACCCCUGGUUUUUGGCCUCUAACAAUAACUUUUUGGGAUUUUCCCUGUUUUUUUUCCCUCUCACUCACUCUCUCUCAGUCCUUCUGUCCCUUUCAUUCUUCUGUGAUGCUUCCUUGUGGGUCCACCUGUGGAUGGAGUUUCCUUAUCCUGUAGUUUCUCUCUCAUCAUCUAAUCGCUUGUGGUAUUUAAUGAAGGACUGGAGCUGCUGCUCUCCCUUGGAUUGUUGUUAACAUCAUGUUGGUAAUUUGUGACGCUGAGAAUUCAGUGAAUAGUUUAAAAGAUCGGCUUAUAAAGUUCAAAGUUUCAUUGACACAAACAAGCUUUCGGUCAGAUUAGCAGCUGAUUUCUUUCUUCAAGAAGUCCCCCGUACAGUAACAAUUACAAAUAAUACUGUCUGUUUCAGGUGUUCACCUUUUUCUUCCAACUGAUUAAAAAACAGUAAGAACGAGAAUGGUUUUGGGCCAAGCUGCUGAUCUGGUGAACAUUACAAGCCUGCCAUGUCUGCACUGUGUAUUAUUAGGCCAUGUUCAUGUAGUCUGCACCGUGUAAUUAUCUCAGCAGGCUGCUGACAAGAGGAGCCAAGAUCUCUGUCCCAUGUGGUGCAGAUGUAUUUAUUUUUAAGACUGUGUUGUAUCUUUAGGACUUUAGUAACAAAGGACAGAGACAAAGACUGUUUUAAAGUCAGUUGAAGAAAACUUGAAAGCCAAAAUUCUUCUUAGACUAUUCUUACACUUUGCUCAAUAAUGCAUCACAUGACAUCAGCUCCCCUUACUUCACUAUUUCAUGCUGCUAGCUGCAAGCUUCUUUUUAUUUAUUUAGUCCAUCUGGAAGCCAUAAUGAGAUAUUAUCCAGUGUUUGAACC